rnacentral:rRNA from 1 species
AGUGAACGCUGGCGGCAGGCUUAACACAUGCAAGUCGAACGGCAGCACAGUAAGAGCUUGCGCUUACGGGUGGCGAGUGGCGGACGGGUGAGGAAUACAGCGGAAUCUACUUUUUCGUGGGGGAUAACGUAGGGAAACUUACGCUAAUACCGCAUACGACCUACGGGUGAAAGCAUGGGAUCUUCGGACCUUGCGCGACUGAAUGAGCCGAUGUCGGAUUAGCUAGUUGGCGGGGUAAAGGCCCACCAAGGCGACGAUCCGUAGCUGGUCUGAGAGGAUGAUCAGCCACACUGGAACUGAGACACGGUCCAGACUCCUACGGGAGGCAGCAGUGGGGAAUAUUGGACAAUGGGCGCAAGACUGAUCCAGCCAUGCCGCGUGGGUGAAGAAGGCCUUCGGGUUGUAAAGCCCUUUUGUUGGGAAAGAAACGCAGCAGGUUAAUACCCCGCUGUUCUGACGGUACCCGAAGAAUAAGCACCGGCUAACUUCGUG